CACGUUUGUGUACAGAGUGUGAGGUGGGGGUUUAACACGUUUGUGUACAGAGUGUGAGGUGGGGGUUUAACACGUUUGUAAAAGUGUUGCUGGCUGUAACACGACUCUCACUGUCACUGAGAUUCACUGCUGAUGAAGACUGAAACUUUUACACCCACCAAUGCACUUCCUCAUUAUGGGUCACACCCACACUAAUAUUGUCUUUAUACCACUAUCUCUGGUUAACACACACACACACACACACACACACACACACACACACAUGCACACACACACAAGAAACCAAACAUGAAUGAAAAUGAUUUAAAAUCGUGAUGGCGUCUACAGUCAGGUCUGUGAGUAAUGAAUUUUCGUAGUGGGAUAAGAAAUGAAGGAAUCGAGCUGUGAUUGAAGUGUAGACUUUCAGCUUUAAUUCAAGGAGUUCAACAUAAAUAUUGCAUCAACAAUUGAGGCGUUAUGGGCAUUUUUUUACAGGCUCAAAAGUAAUUGGACAGGCUAACAUAAUCAUAAAUAUUAGAACUAUUUUUAAUACUUGAAUGCAAAUCUGUUGCAGUCAUUGACCGAUUGAAGUCUGAAAGCCAUGGACAUCGUCAAAUGUUGAGUUUGAGAUGCUUUACCAGGUCUUUACUGCAGCUGCCUUCAGUUGCUGCUUGUUUGUGGGUUUUUCUGCCUGUAGUUUUGUCUUCAGUAAGUGAAAAGCAGCUCAAGGGGGUGAGGUCAGGUGAUUGACGCUGCCAUUUAAGAACAUACCAUUUCUUUGCCUUAAGAAGCUCUUGGGAUUCUUUCGCAGUACGUUUCGGGAGGUCGUUUUCCAUCUGUACUGUGAAGCGCCGUCCUGUUUCAGUUUUGCAGGAUUCGACUGAAUCUGAGCAGAACGUAUAUCUCGAUACACUACAGAAUUCAUCCUGCUCCUUCUAUCAGCACUCACAUCAUCAGUAAACACCACUGACCCAGUUCCACUGGCAGCAGGGUCUGAAAUUCAGUUUUUCCUCCACCUGCCACAGUGGCUGGUAAAUAUUCAUUUUUACUGUUUGAUAUGAACAAAAAGUUAUUUUUUUACAUUAGCUAAUCUGACCCUCCAAUAAACUAUUAUCUGUGUGCGGGUCGACUGGCUAUUUGUAUUAAAAUUUUAGAAAUUUUAGCAAUAAGGCAUGUAAUGAUUCACACGUUCAGGUUAAGUCAGAGAAUUUCACUGUGC
ensembl:lncRNA